CAACAGGGGAGCCCGGAUCGACGGGCUGAGAGUCGGAUAUAUUCCGAGACCCAUUACACCUGAUCUGGAUCAUGCCAGCGUAGGGAGCA
rnacentral:ncRNA from 1 species